rnacentral:snoRNA from 1 species
UGGCCCAGGGAUGUGAAUGUGUUCAUAUCAAAGAUGGUGAUUAACCCAAUUCUGUGCAAUUGAGGUUGAAU